AUUGGACGCUGGCGGAAUGCUUUACACAUGCAAGUCGAACGGCAGCACGGGGCAACCUGGUGGCGAGUGGCGAACGGGUGAGUAAUAUAUCGGAACGUGCCCAAUCGUGGGGGAUAACGUAGCGAAAGUUACGCUAAUACCGCAUACGAUCUACGGAUGAAAGCGGGGGAUCGCAAGACCUCGCGCGAAUGGAGCGGCCGAUAUCAGAUUAGGUAGUUGGUGGGGUAAAGGCUCACCAAGCCAACGAUCUGUAGCUGGUCUGAGAGGACGACCAGCCACACUGGAACUGAGACACGGUCCAGACUCCUACGGGAGGCAGCAGUGGGGAAUUUUGGGACAAUGGGCGCAAGCCUGAUCCAGCCAUUCCGCGUGCAGGAUGAAGGCCUUCGGGUUG
rnacentral:rRNA from 1 species